ACAGCAGCCGCCACGGUAAUACAGAGGGUGCGAGCGUUAAUCGGAUUUACUGGGCGUAAAGCGUGCGUAGGCGGCUUCUUAAGUCGGAUGUGAAAUCCCUGAGCUUAACUUAGGAAUUGCAUUCGAUACUGGGAAGCUAGAGUAUGGGAGAGGAUGGUAGAAUUCCAGGUGUAGCGGUGAAAUGCGUAGAGAUCUGUAGGAAUACCGAUGGCGAAGGCAGCCAUCUGGCCUAAUACUGACGCUGAGGUACGAAAGCAUGGGGAGCAAACAGGAUUAGAUACCCCGGUAGUCCCUGUCUCUUAUAC
rnacentral:rRNA from 1 species